rnacentral:rRNA from 1 species
UACGUAGGUGGCAAGUGUUGUCCGGAAUUAUUGGGCGUAAAGCGCGCGCAGGCGGUCUCUUAAGUCUGAUGUGAAAGCCCAUGGCUCAACCAUGGAUGGUCAUUGGAAACUGGGAGACUUGAGUACAGAAGAGGAGAGUGGAAUUCCACGUGUAGCGGUGAAAUGCGUAGAUAUGUGGAGGAACACCAGUGGCGAAGGCGACUCUCUGGUCUGUAACUGACGCUGAGGCG